UGGUGCUAUUUCCAUGUCAACGGUAACUACACAGUAUUCCUCAAUAAAUGUCUUUGAACCAUCUCUCUAGACAAUUAGUGUUGUUUACGUUUUUUGUUUGGUCCCCCAGGGUCCUCCCAUGGGCAAUUCUAGUAAUGGUUCUUCAGCUGCUUAAAAGCGCCAAAAAAGUGAAAAAAAAAAAAAAACAAGAGAUAUAGUCAGCGCCAUUUUAUGGGGGAGUUGUUUGUGCUUCCAUUUUUGUCAAAGUUUCCUAUUCCUUCUGAUGCAAAUGCAUCCCAACCUAAAAUUUUAAAUGAUUAUUUUGGUGUUCUGAUGGCAUACGGUGGUCUACAAGAUUUUCUAAGGGUGCAAGAACCUGGAUAUAUAU